CCUACGGGAGGCAGCAGUGAGGAAUAUUGGUCAAUGGACGAGAGUCUGAACCAGCCAAGUAGCGUGAAGGAUGACUGCCCUAUGGGUUGUAAACUUCUUUUAUAUGGGAAUAAAAUGUUCCACGUGUGGGAUUUUGUAUGUACCAUAUGAAUAAGGAUCGGCUAACUCCGUGCCAGCAGCCGCGGUAAUACGGAGGAUCCGAGCGUUAUCCGGAUUUAUUGGGUUUAAAGCGAGCGUAGGUGGAUUGUUAAGUCAGUUGUGAAAGUUUGCGGCUCAACCGUAAAAUUGCAGUUGAAACUGGCAGUCUUGAGUACAGUAGAGGUGGGCGGAAUUCGUGGUGUAGCGGUGAAAUGCUUAGAUAGCACGAAGAACUCCGAUUGCGAAGGCAGUUCACUGGACUGCAACUGACACUGAGGCUCGAAAGUGUGGGUAUCAAACAGGAUUAGAUACCCGAGUAGUC
rnacentral:rRNA from 1 species